AACGAACGCUGGCGGCAGGCUUAACGCAUGCAAGUCGAACGGGUGUAGCAAUACAUCAGUGGCAGACGGGUGAGUAACACGUGGGAACCUUCCUAGGGGUACGGAACAACUCUGGGAAACUUGAGCUAAUACCGUAUACGUCCGUGAGGAGAAAGAUUUAUCGCCCUUAGACGGGCCCGCGUCGGAUUAGGUAGUUGGUGGGGUAACGGCCUACCAAGCCUACGAUCCGUAGCUGAUCUUAGAGGAUGAUCAGCCACACUGGGACUGAGACACGGCCCAGACUCCUACGGGAGGCAGCAGUGGGGAAUCUUGGACAAUGGGCGCAAGCCUGAUCCAGCCAGGCCGCGUGAGUGAAGAAGGCCUUAGGGUUGUAAAGCUCUUUUACCAGGGACGAUAAUGACGGUACCUGGAGAAUAAGCCCCGGCAAACUUCGUGCCAGCCGCCGCUGUAACAC
rnacentral:rRNA from 1 species